rnacentral:misc_RNA from 1 species
GUGUCGGCCUUCUCGACUUCGCCCUUCGCCAGAUGCUCCAGCAAAUCCUUGUGCGACUUGACGUGCCGUUCGAGAUUCAUCGACACGAAGGCGGUGACCUGAAUGAAGCCGGGAUAGACCUUGCGGAAGGCGCCCUUGCACUGCAUCGGCACGUAGUUGAUCAGAUUGUCCUCGAACCACUUCAGCGGCUUCGAGGUUGCGAAUUCGUUGACCUUGGUUGGCGCAAUGCGCGUAUCGAUCGGUCCUGCCAUCAAGGUGAGGCUCGCCGGGCGC